UACGAAGGGGGCUAGCGUUGCUCGGAAUCACUGGGCGUAAAGGGUGCGUAGGCGGCCAGAUAAGUCAGUGGUGAAAUCCUGUUGCUUAACAACAGAACUGCCAUUGAUACUGUUUGGCUUGAGUAUAGUUGCUGUGGGCGGAAUAUGACAUGUAGUGGUGAAAUACAUAGAGAUGUCAUAGAACACCGAUUGCGAAGGCAGCUCACAAAACUAUAACUGACGCUGAGGCACGAAAGUGCGGGGAUCAAACAGG
rnacentral:rRNA from 1 species